rnacentral:rRNA from 1 species
CCCCACUGCUAUCGGGAUAGGACUAAGACAUGCUAGUUGAGCGCUUCCAGCCAACACGGGAGCGCAGCGCACGGCUCAGUAACACGUGGCUAAUCUGCCCUUGGGAUAGGAACAACCCCGGGAAACUGGGGAUAAUUCCCAAUAGGCGAAGAACUCUGGAAUGAGUCUUCACCAGAAAAGACGUUUACGUUAUGCUCGUAAGCGUCGCCCAAGGAUGAGGCCGCGACCGAUCAGGUUGUUGGUGAGGUAAUGGCUCACCAAGCCUUUUACCGGUGCGGGCCGUGAGAGCGGGAGCCCGGAGAUGGGCACUGA